GUAUUGUAUUGCAUAAUAUGCAGGAUACAUUCCACAAAACUAAGUUACAGUGUAUGUGUGUAAAGAUGCAGAACAACAGCAAGGGGACAGAGUCACCCAGGCCAUAGAACUACAGAGGGUGCACAGGUGUGAGUGGAUGUGUAAACAGAGCGUGCACAUGCCUCUGUUUGGGAGGCCAGCAACAACUCAUGUUAACAAUUCAGUAAUGAUCCUUCCGCAGGUUCACCUACGGAAA
rnacentral:misc_RNA from 1 species